rnacentral:rRNA from 1 species
UACAGAGGUCUCAAGCGUUGUUCGGAUUCAUUGGGCGUAAAGGGUGCGUAGGCGGCGCGGUAAGUCGGGUGUGAAAUCUCGGAGCUUAACUCCGAAACUGCAUUCGAUACUGCCGUGCUUGAGGACUGGAGAGGAGACUGGAAUUUACGGUGUAGCGGUGAAAUGCGUAGAUAUCGUAAGGAAGACCAGUGGCGAAGGCGGGUCUCUGGGCAGUAACUGACGCUGAGGAGCGAAAGCGUGGGUAGCAAACAGG